AGGGAAACUAAGGCUGAGAGGUGAUUUGAUCAAGGUCACACAGCAAGCGUUGGAUGAAGGUCUAGAGUCCAGGAUUUGAAUAGUUUAGGAAGGAGCCAGCCAUCAAACAGAAGUCUCCAGUGGAAUGAGCCAGGGUUGAGACUUUGAAAAACAAAGAUUAAUCUGAAGUUCAAAGAGGGGAAGAAAAAGAUUCUAAAGCUAUUUAGACUUGAUCACUGCAUCCGAAGUUCUUGUCUUGGCUUCCGAGAGUUUCCAGCUCUGUGGAAUGGCUUGCGGACUUUGAGAAGGAUAUGUUGGAACUGUCCUUGGGAAUCUGCAGAUCUACUCUUCCAGUUCAUUGGCCUUUUCUUCCGGAGAUUCUCAGGAGGGUGAAGGUGCUUUUUCAGAGAUGAGAUAACUCUCGCAGAAAAAAAGCGUGUGUGUGGGCCUUUUGCCUAUAAAGAGGAAAGGUUCAGAAAAUUCUUCCUCCUUAUAGAAAGUAUGUGUAAUAGAUGCCAAAGGACUAUCCACGUGAGGAACCUGGGGCUUGGUUUCCAGCCUUAAUUAUACCACAGGAGAACAUGUUAAAGGGUGAAGGAAGGAUCUGGUUUGGGUAGGUGGCAGGGAUUUUAUUCCCUUUUAUUUAUGACACGUGAGUUGUAUAAAAUGCUAACACAAUGCCCACCCCUCUCCUUACCCUUUACUACUAGCUUAUUCUCAUGAAUCAGUAGUUUUUUUUUGCGAUUUCAACCACUUUAUUCAUAGUGUAACAAAGGCAUUAUCAUGUGGGCUAGUAUUUGCCUCCCUUUGAGACAUGAUUCACCAGGGUUGCAAACUUAUAAUUCAAAAGCAGCUCUGGGUACAGGCAUCCACAGGGAGAGCUUGGCUGUUCAUGAGACAACACUUUGAAAAGAUUUGAGAGAAUAGUCAUUAGAAAUUGUGAAAGGCAGUAAACUUCUCCUUACAUGUUAAUAAUAGAGUUUAAUACUUUAUUUCUGUGCAAUCUCAUGAAAUUCAUUUUAUUUUAAAAGAAUUUUUUAAAGGUAUUAUCUUUUUUUGCAUAAAGUUAUCAAUUUGCUGUUAAUAGCUUUGAAAUAUGUUAAAUUUUUUCACAUGAAAAUUAAGUAUCUUGUUACUAUCAUCAAAAACAUUUAGUGAGCAUCUCCUGUGUUCAAAGAGCUGGUUUGAAGAGUCAUAGGACAGAGUCCUAUCCCAGGGAACUGAUACUCUUGUCUCAAUAAAUCUUCAUUCUUCCAUGUCUUUCUUCGCAGUGGUUUAGAUAUCACCAAAGAGCAUGUCUAUGAUGGGGGUGGGUGGGUGUUGAAGUACCAAUAGGGAGGGGAAUAAUAAUGGGACAUUUUGUUGCACUGCCUUCCCUAAAUAACAAUGAGGAUGACAAAAUUACAACUGUCAUUUACUGGAAACAUACAAUAUCAAAGCACUGCGCUAAGUGCUUUAAUUGAUUAUUAAAUUCUCCUAGCUACUCUUUGUGGUUUCUGUUUUUAUUAUUUCCAUUUUAUACAUGGAGUCUGAGCUUAGAAAUUCUAGUCUUUUAAGAAGUGGCACAGCUUGGAUUUAAUCAGUCUUGUCUCACUUCAAAGGCAUAUACCUAACCAUUUUGCCUUGUUACUUAGUUCUGCUUGGCAACAAAUAAGAAUGCAUUUAUUUGUUUAAAACUUAUUAUUUUAUAUAAAAUCACAGGCAAGGUUUUGAUUAAGAACUAGGUCUUAGUAGGGUCCUGUGGUGAAAUACAAAUGUAGUGAAAUACAAAGUGAGCAAAUCUUUAUGUAUCUUGUCAAAUGCAUGAGCCCGGGAUGAUGAGAGACAAAAAACAUCAAUAACUUUAUAUUCCACUUCCAGUUAUCUAUGUCCA